UCGCCGCCCGCGACCCGGCGAGAAGUCCAUUGAACCUUAUCAUUUAGAGGAAGGAGAAGUCGUAACAAGGUUUCCGUAGGUGAACCUGCGGAAGGAUCAUUG
rnacentral:rRNA from 1 species